UGGGGCGUCGUCUAGUGGUAAGACACAGGAUUUUGGAUCCUGUUACCGGAGGUUCGAGUCCUCCCGCCCCAG
rnacentral:tRNA from 1 species